ACGCUGAAGGCAUCUAAGCGUGAAGCCCCCCUCAAGAUGAGAUAUCCCAUAGCAUAAGCUAGUAAGACCCCUCGAAGACGACGAGGUAGAUAGGUUAGAGGUGGAAGUGCAGUAAUGUACGCAGCUGACUAAUACUAAUAGGUCGAGGGCUUGACCUA
rnacentral:rRNA from 1 species